rnacentral:rRNA from 1 species
AUUGAACGCUGGCGGCAGGCCUAACACAUGCAAGUCGAGCGAGCGGCGGACGGGUGAGUAAUGUAUGGGGACUGCCCGAUAGAGGGGGAUAACUACUGGAAACGGUAGCUAAUACCGCAUACUAUCGGAUUACCCAUAUGGAUUAGCUCGUAGGUGGGGUAAUGGCUUACCUAGGCGACGAUCCCUAACUGGUCUGAGAGGAUGAUCACGCAAACUGGGACUGAGACACGGCCCAGACACCUACGGAGGCAGCAGUGGGGAAGAUUGCACAAGGGGCGCAAGCCUGAUGCAGCCAUGCCGCGUGUAUGAAGAGGGCCCUAGGGUUGUAAAGUACUUGCAGGCGGGAGGCGUUACCGACAGAGGAAGCACCGGCUAACUCCGUGCCAGCAGCCGCGGUAAUAC